AGAAAUGGUCGACUCUUUGGACACUCGUAAACAGGUGGUGCAUGGUUGUCGUCAGCUCGUGUCGUGAGAUGUUGGGUUAAGUCCCGCAACGAGCGCAACCCUCGUUCUAUGUUGCCAGCACGUAAUGGUGGGAACUCAUGGGAUACUGCCGGGGUCAACUCGGAGGAAGGUGGGGAUGACGUCAAAUCAUCAUGCCCCUUAUGUCUUGGGCUUCACGCAUGCUACAAUGGCCGGUACAA
rnacentral:rRNA from 1 species